AGCGAACGCUGGCGGCAGGCCUAACACAUGCAAGUCGAACGAACUCUUCGGAGUUAGUGGCGGACGGGUGAGUAACACGUGGGAACGUGCCUUUAGGUUCGGAAUAACUCAGGGAAACUUGUGCUAAUACCGAAUGUGCCCUUCGGGGGAAAGAUUUAUCGCCUUUAGAGCGGCCCGCGUCUGAUUAGCUAGUUGGUGAGGUAAAGGCUCACCAAGGCGACGAUCAGUAGCUGGUCUGAGAGCAUGAUCAGCCACAUUGGGACUGAGACACGGCCCAAACUCCUACGGGAGGCAGCAGUGGGGAAUCUUGCGCAAUGGGCGAAAGCCUGACGCAGCCAUGCCGCGUGAAUGAUGAAGGUCUUAGGAUUGUAAAAUUCUUUCACCGGGGACGAUAAUGACGGUACCCGGAGAAGAAGCCCCGGCUAACUUCGUG
rnacentral:rRNA from 1 species